rnacentral:rRNA from 1 species
CCUACGGGUGGCAGCAGUGGGGAAUAUUGGACAAUGGGCGAAAGCCUGAUCCAGCCAUGCCGCGUGUGUGAAGAAGGCCUUCGGGUUGUAAAGCACUUUCAGUGGGGAAGAAAGCCUUGGGGCUAAUACCCUCGAGGAAGGACAUCACCCACAGAAGAAGCACCGGCUAACUCCGUGCCAGCAGCCGCGGUAAUACGGAGGGUGCGAGCGUUAAUCGGAAUUACUGGGCGUAAAGCGCGCGUAGGCGGUCUGAUAAGCCGGUUGUGAAAGCCCCGGGCUCAACCUGGGAACGGCAUCCGGAACUGUCAGGCUAGAGUGCAGGAGAGGAAGGUAGAAUUCCCGGUGUAGCGGGGAAAUGCGUAGAGAUCGGGAGGAAUACCAGUGGCGAAGGCGGCCUUCUGGACUGACACUGACGCUGAGGUGCGAAAGCGUGGGUAGCAAACAGGAUUAGAUACCCUUAGUAGUC